AGACUUAAUUAAAGUUCAACAGAGAAAUAUGUCUGUUUUUUUUUUUUUUUCACAUUAUUUGGACGGUUGACUUAAGAGGUUAUACUCAUUCUGACUUGGUAGGAGUGGUUUGCGUAGAAUGGGACGAAUUCCUAUAUUAACGUCACAUGACAGGACUGAUGAUAUGUGCAGUUGUCAGUUGUGAAUGGACACCAGUAACUCCGGCUGUGCUCGCUUUCGGGCUUCUCUGAGAAAAGCAUCUUUCUACAACAGGCAGUUUGCACUCAGGACGGCAAGCUGUUAAGGACCCAAACUCUGAAAUCUUAAAACUUCUCACCUCUCACGUUCCAGGGCCCCUCUUCAGGACAGUCAAAAUGCCACAAAACAAUACUUUGAAAGGCAACCAUGAAAAUUCUGAACUCGGCGGCAAAGGGUGGCCGGGAUCCAAGGCUGUAAAGAAUGUCGCUCCGGGCCUCGCUUCGCUUCAGUGGAGUCCAGGACCUUUAGGCAGAGCCAUCUCCAUUGGUUCACGGUUAGAUGCUGAGGCUUUGCAUGGUGACCAGGCACAGCUGGUCCCCAAAGCUGAGACCAAACUCUACCAUCGUCGCUGGCUCAUGCUGUUUCUUUUCAGCGCCGUCUCAGCUAGCAAUGCCUUCAUGUGGCUUCAGUAUGGCAUUAUUAGCAACAUAUUCAUGCGCUUCUACAACAUUGACUCUCUGGCCAUUGACUGGCUGUCCAUGAUCUACCUGCUCACUUAUGUCCCACUCAUUCUGCCUGUCCUGUGGCUUCUGGACAACAGGGGAAUCCGGGAUGUUGUCCUCGUUGGGACAGCCUUUAACUGCAUUGGUGCUUGGAUAAAAAUUGGUAGUGCCAAUCCCAACAUGUUUCCAGUCACCUUUUUUGGCCAGUUUGUGUGCUCAGUAUCCACUGUUUUUGUCCUUGGUAUUCCAUCUUACCUUGCCUCAGUGUGGUUUGGAGAGAAAGAGGUUUCCACUGCUUGUUCCAUAGGAGUUCUGGGAAACCAGCUGGGUAUUGCCAUUGGGUUCCUCGUGCCUCCAAUCCUGGUGCCUAAUGUGGACGACAUGGACGAACUGGCUCACCACAUCAGCGUUAUGUUCUAUAUUACAGCAGGAGUGGCUACCUUACUCUUCAUCCUUGUGGUCUUUGUCUUCCAGGAGCGUCCUAAACUUCCUCCAACUCAGGCCCAGGCCACAGCUCGCAGCAUACCACCGGAGCAGUACUCCUACACUGCUUCUAUCCUCAGGCUGCUCCGCAACAGGCCCUUCAUCCUCCUCAUCAUCACUUAUGGUUUGAACGUGGGUUGUUUCUAUGCUGUUGGCACCCUGCUGAACCGCAUGAUCAUCGAGCAUUACCCUGGUGAAGAGGUGAAUGCUGGGAGGAUUGGCCUCACCAUUGUCAUUGCAGGGAUGAUUGGCUCCCUCAUCUGCGGCAUUUGGUUGGACAAAACUAAAACCUACAAGCAGACAACCCUCGCUGUUUACUUCAUGUCUCUGGUGGGGAUGAUAGUCUAUGCUGCUACACUCAGUCUGGGACACCUUUGGGUGGUCUUCAUCACCGCGGGAGCCCUUGGGUUCUUCAUGACGGGUUACCUGCCACUGGGCUUUGAGUUUGCAGUUGAGCUGACGUACCCAGAGUCAGAGGGGACCUCGUCGGGACUCCUCAACUGUUCAGCACAGGUGUUUGGCAUUAUAUUCACCAUCUGCCAGGGGAAGAUCAUUGACAGAUUCGGCACACUGGAAGGAAACAUCUUCCUCUGUGUCUUUCUUCUAAUCGGCACAAUAAUGACAGGCUUGAUAAAGUCUGAUCUGCGUAGACAAAAUGCAAACCUGUUGGCCAAAGCAGCAGCGGAGGGGCAGGUGUCGGAACAAGACUAUGGAGCCACGGCACUAAUCUCCCAGUCGCAGACUCCUCCUUCUCAAGCCUGAUCAAUAAGCCUUUCCGCUUCCCACAAAAAAAAUCUGCUCAAAUCUUAGCUCAACACGCAGAUGCACAAAGGUAGGAGCACAGAGCAAUCAGCACACACUGUUGAUAAUCACCAAAAACCUGCUGCACAUUCUUCUUCCUGUCACUGUUACACCUGCUUUUUCUGUCUUUCUAUGUCACUUUCUUACAAUCACGUUGAAUAAUGUCCACACAUUCAAGGACCUUCUGACUGCCCCAGUGGGAGCCUGGCUGCACCUUCUGUCAUCACAGAAGCCAAGUUUUAAAUGUGCUUGCACACACACACACACACACACACACACACACAUGCAC